CGCGCAAGUUUCUCUUCCGGGACGGGGCGGGACGACUGGGCUUUGGCGCGAAAUUUCAUCUCGCUGGAGGAAGAGGGAAGUUAUCGCCCCGCUGAGCCGCAGACAUCAUGAACACAAGAAGCCAGAGAAAACGCAUCUAUUCAUGGUUUGGCAAGGCUAUAUCUACAGACAGGCAAUUGCAGAUCUCUCAUUAUAGGGGAGUAUCUAUUAAAUGUGGAAAAAAU